GUGCUCGCUUCGGCAGCACAUAUACUAAAAUUGGAAUGAUAUAGAGAAGAUUAGGAUGGCCCCUGCACAAGGAUGACACACAAAUUCGUGAAAUGUUCCAUAUAUUU
rnacentral:snRNA from 1 species